rnacentral:rRNA from 1 species
CCUACGGGUGGCAGCAGUGAGGAAUAUUGGUCAAUGGUCGGGAGACUGAACCAGCCAAGCCGCGUGAGGGAGGAAGGUACAGAGCAUCGUAAACCUCUUUUGUCAGGGAACAAAGGCGGGGUCGAGUCCCUGGAUGAGUGUACUUGAAGAAAAAGCAUCGGCUAACUCCGUGCCAGCAGCCGCGGUAAUACGGAGGAUGCGAGCGUUAUCCGGAUUUAUUGGGUUUAAAGGGUGCGUAGGCGGACUGUUAAGUCAGCGGUAAAAGCCCGGGGCUCAACCCCGGCCAGCCGUUGAAACUGGCAGUCUCGAGUUGGAGAGAGGUAUGCGGAAUGCGCGGUGUAGCGGUGAAAUGCUUAGAUAUCGCGCAGAACUCCGAUUGCGAAGGCAGCAUGCCGGCUCCACUCUGACGCUGAGGCACGAAAGCGUGGGUAUCGAACAGGAUUAGAUACCCUUGUAGUC